rnacentral:SRP_RNA from 1 species
CCGUGCUAGAUGGGGAAUUAGCGGUGCCCUGUAACCUGCAACCCGCUAUAGCAGGAUCGAAUUCCUGAGCCGAGGGCAUAUUCUUGUAGGGUCCGGCUCGAAUAAGUGGUGAAGAGGUUUGGGUCCUCCGCAACGGAACACCUUGAACCGUGUCAGGUCCGGAAGGAAGCAGCACUAAAAGGUUCAUUUCGUGUGACGGGGGGGUGCCUGGACGGAGUCAACUGUUCGUGCAUCGCCUGGAAGGUAUCUUCGAGGCCAGGUGCACGG